UGAAUGCAACUCAAAGUAGUGAUGAUUUAUUGUGUGUUUGAUGGUUGCAGGAGGACUGCUGCUGAGGCUCUGUGGGAACUAUGGAAGAGUCUUUCCAGUCUUACUGUUGACUAUAAAUAUCUGCAGCGUCAGUGGAGGACAUCAUCUCCUCUGCGGCCAAAGUAAAAAGAUAAAAGCGCCCGGAGAAGAUGUUCUAGUGUGAAGGGAGCAUGGUGGCGCAGUGUGCGUGGGAGCGGCCAGAAUGCAGAAGUGUCUGGUUCGAGGCUCGCUCGGUGCCCGGUUCCUGGAGCCUCACCCCGCUGCAGAGGGAGAGGAGGGGGCCGUGUCCCCUCCCGGGUUUCCAGAGAGUCCUCUUUGUGGAAAACGUCCGCUGCUCCCAACUUCAUCAGCCGCUCACUGAAAGAGAGAGAGAGAAAAAAACCGUGUCAACAGCAGUCCUCCUGUAACUCUGGACAUCAGCCUUCAACCUGGAAGAAAUGAACAUUUUAAAAGAUUGUCAGACAAUUGUCAAACCAGAGAAAGAUCAACUUUUAGAUGUAGGGUGAAUCUUUAAAAUAUCCUACCAGAGGAGAUGAUGUCCUCCACUGACGCUGCAGAUCUACGAGUGUGAGACAAAUUAAAGUCUUAACAACACAGCUGACAGAGAAAGUAAAAAUCAUACAACAAUAAUAAACAUUUAUAGGAUUGAGUUACAUUUCUA